CUCUCUUUCUCUCUUCUUUCCUCUCUAAAAUCAAUAAACAUAUCCUCAGGUGACAAUUUUAAAAAAGCACAUGCAAACUGCUUAGCACAGCCCCUGGUGUUUAGUUAAGUGUAUAACGAAUAUUAAGCUUCUUUCCACUGCCUCGCCCAGCCCCUGCCCCAGUAGAGUGUAGUGGUGCUUAAAAAUGUAUGCCUUUCAUUUCUAAGUUACUCUGGUCUCUCCUUUAUGGCCUAUCCCCCAAUUCUUAAACAAAGCAAGUGAUUUCUUCCCUUAAUAAAAACUUUCACUGCCUUUUCUUCCAUAGCAUUCAGUAGAAGGUCCCAAUUACUGAGGGUUUGGCUUUUUAAGUCUCUGUGUGUUUUCCUAGCUUCAUCUUUUGUCACUUUCCCCCUCACACUGGUUACCCUAGCCAAGCUUAACUAUUUACACAAGUUGUUCUUUGAGCCUGGAACAGAGACAUUAUAACAAUUUUGAUGCCCACAGGAAGUAAACGGUAGGAAUUGUUCUUAAGGGAAUAGAAUGAAACUGCUAAAAGUGCAAAACACUCCACCUCCACCUCAGUCCAAUUUCCUGUACCGUGUCUUGGGUCUCCCACGCCAUUCAUUUUUUGUGCCCUUUGGAUUUUAGUGUCCUGAGACAAAGCUUAAACUUCCCCAUCUUACUUUUGAUCCUAGCCUGGACUACCUUUCACCCCUCUUAAUCAGAUUAACUCUCACCCUCUAGACUGGGUUAUGGUCUCCUCUUCAGAGCUCCCAUGGCACCCUGAGCAUCCUUAUGGCCUCGGUGAUAAUCAUAUUAGAUAGCAAUGUUUUUCAGAGUGUGGGCCUUAUAUCAUUUGUUAGAAUCACUUUUGGUGUUUGAUAAAAUAAUUGAUUCAUAGAUCCCAGCCCUGAUCUACUUAAUUAGAAUAUCUGGACACAUGGGUGGAAUUUUACAUUUUUAACAAGCUUUCCAGGUAAUUCUGAUGCACACACAAAUUUAAUGUAUAACAAUCAACUUCUGUAUUAGACUAUGAAUACCUUGAGGGCAGGGUCUAUGUCUUUUGUUUUUGUUGUAUUUUUCACACCUGAGAUAGUGUGUGGAACAGAGUAGUUGCCUAAUGUUUAUUGAACAAACGAACAAAUGAAUGAAUGAAUGAAUGAAUGAUCAACGUUGUACUCUGAUAUCCAUAUUGGUGUUUGUUGUUUCCUGGGCGGAAACGCUUGGGCUUUUCCAUCUGGGCUAUACUGAUAAUAUUUUGCAGAUGUCCCACGACUUAUAUGCAUAAAUGAGUACUAGUAUUGUCCUCCUCAAAAGCUCUUUGGAAGUUGGCUUGGGGAAUUGUCUGGAGCAUGUGACACCAUUCUUUUCAAUCACUUUUCAAUAUUUUUCAAAUUUGUUCUUUGAAAGUAGAUUUAAAUUUUGGUUACAACCAAAAAUCAGAGCUAAGCCUACUGAAUAAAGUAGGAAAUGAAAUCGGGCUUGGGAUAAGCAAUUAAAUUGCUGAGCCAAAUAAUGAAAUGAUCAUUGCUUUCCAAGAGACAACAUGGUGACAAAGUACUCAGUGGGGGUGUGGUGAGUCCCAGAUACUUACUUCAGUAAACUUAAGACUUUCAUAGGAUACUGGUAAUGCCAGGGACCUUAAAAGACAUCAUUGACCACCUUUAGCUGAACCCAGUUGAACAAAGGAAAUAGGACCUGUUUAACAUCAAGGAAGGUAACUCCGUAAGUUUUCGUUGCUCUUGUUCUACUCAGUUUAUUCCCCCACAAUCCUUUCUGCUAGCAAAUUGUUCUAUCUGUCUGCAAUUUAUGCUUAUUUCCACUUUUGUACUGUCUUAUUGAAGAAAGCACAAAAAUAAUAAAAUAUAAAGUUAAACCUGUUUCGAGUAUAUAAAAGAAAUUUUAAUGCCACAUUGGAGUUCUGGCUACUUGUAAGUAAGAGUAACUGCAUCUGUUUUUAUCAUGUAUUUCCAUUGUGUAACUUUGGAUGCAGUGACAUUCAGAUUGCAGCAAAAUCAUUUACAUAUUCUUUUCAGCUGAAAUACACUAGGUGAAUUUUCUAAGCUUCCAUGGUUUACAUAUUUAUACAUGGACUACCUGGAUGGAAUAAUCCAUGGAUGGACUUUUUGAUAAGCUCCAAUAUUUGAUAUUCUUUCCUCGACAGAAUGGAGAAUGUGAUGCUGACAGACAAGAACCACUCCCACAAUUGUUUCAAUUCCUAAAGCCAAUUGCAGCUUUGGAUCCAUUGGGCUGUAUUUGGCUGUGUAUUAUAGGUUGACUGUCAUCAGGUCAGGCAUACCUAGCUGUGCUGUCCUCAGACAAAGCCCACUAAGUCCAUCCUAUAAAAUCACACGCCUGAAUGUUCAUGAUAUGCUAGGAUGAACAGUCAAAAGAAAAGAAGAUAUGGAAUCUGCUUGUACCUGGAGAUUAUUAUCUGAACAUGAAGGUCCUUCCAACUGCACAGUUUGCCAGUGUCUCAGCUAUACUUGCUCUUCCAAACACUAUGCAAUCUAUACUGCAAAACCAAAGACCUGAAAUGCUGGCCAAAGGAAGUGUACACGGACCACGCCCGCGGACCACACCCGCUGACUCUGCACUGUGCCCCCCUCCUCACCAUGCCCAAAGAGAUUGUGGACCUGUCACCUAACUGGAGAGUGUUGUCAGGAUUUGUGUAAUGCACUCUACACCAAUGAACAACUGAGAGAACUUGACCUCAGUGACAAUGCCUUAGGGGGGUAAGGCAUGAAGGUGCUGUGUCAAGGGUUGAAACAUCCUUCCUAUAAACU